UACCAGCACCCCGAGUGGUCGGGACGAUUAUUGGGCCUAAAGCAUACGUAGCCGGUUCUGCAAGUCCUCCGUUAAAUCCAGCUGCUCAACAGAUGGGCCGCGGAGGAUACUACAGAGCUAGGAGGCAGGAGAGGCAAGCGGUACUCAGUGGGUAGGGGUAAAAUCCGUUGAUCCAUUGAAGACCACCAGUGGCGAAGGCGGCUUGCCAGAAUGCGCUCGACGGUGAGGGAUGAAAGCUGGGGGAGCAAACCGG
rnacentral:rRNA from 1 species